rnacentral:rRNA from 1 species
AGUGAACGCUGGCGGUAUGCCUAACACAUGCAAGUCGAACGGCAGCACAGUAAGAGCUUGCUCUUACGGGUGGCGAGUGGCGGACGGGUGAGGAAUACAUCGGAAUCUACUUUUUCGUGGGGGAUAACGUAGGGAAACUUACGCUAAUACCGCAUACGACCUACGGGUGAAAGCAGGGGAUCUUCGGACCUUGCGCGAUUGAAUGAGCCGAUGUCGGAUUAGCUAGUUGGCGGGGUAAAGGCCCACCAAGGCGACGAUCCGUAGCUGGUCUGAGAGGGUGAUCAGACACACUGGAACUGAGACACGGUCCAGACUCCUACGGGAGGCAGCAGUGGGGAAUAUUGGACAAUGGGCGCAAGCCUGAUACAGCCAUACCGCGUGGGUGAAGAAGGCCUUCGGGUUGUAAAGCCCUGUUGUUGGGAAAGAAAAGCAGCAGGUUAAUACCCCGCUGUUCUGACGGUACCCAAAGAAUAAGCACCGGCUAACUUCGUG